GGGGAAUAUUGCACAAUGGGGGGAACCCUGAUGCAGCGACGCCGCGUGAGCGAAGAAGUAUUUCGGUAUGUAAAGCUCUAUCGGCAGGGAAGAAAAAAAUGACGGUACCUGACUAAGAAGCCCCGGCUAACUACGUGCCAGCAGCCGCGGUAAUACGUAGGGGGCAAGCGUUAUCCGGAUUUACUGGGUGUAAAGGGAGCGCAGGCGGUGCGGCAAGUCUGAUGUGAAAGCCCGGGGCUCAACCCCGGGACUGCAUUGGAAACUGUCGUACUUGAGUAUCGGAGAGGUAAGUGGAAUUCCUAGUGUAGCGGUGAAAUGCGUAGAUAUUAGGAGGAACACCAGUGGCGAAGGCGGCUUACUGGACGAUAACUGACGCUGAGGCUCGAAAGCGUGGGGAGCAAAC
rnacentral:rRNA from 1 species